rnacentral:rRNA from 1 species
AGAGUUUGAUCCUGGCUCAGGACGAACGCUGGCGGCGUGCUUAACACAUGCAAGUCGAACGGAAAGGCCCUUCGGGGUACUCGAGUGGCGAACGGGUGAGUAACACGUGGGUGAUCUGCCCUGCACUUUGGGAUAAGCCUGGGAAACUGGGUCUAAUACCGAAUAGGACCGCAUGCUUCAUGGUGUGUGGUGGAAAGCUUUUGCGGUGUGGGAUGGGCCCGCGGCCUAUCAGCUUGUUGGUGGGGUAAUGGCCUACCAAGGCGACGACGGGUAGCCGGCCUGAGAGGGUGUCCGGCCACACUGGGACUGAGAUACGGCCCAGACUCCUACGGGAGGCAGCAGUGGGGAAUAUUGCACAAUGGGCGCAAGCCUGAUGCAGCGACGCCGCGUGGGGGAUGACGGCCUUCGGGUUGUAAACCUCUUUCAGUAUCGGCGAAGCUCCAGGAUUUUUCUUGGGGUGACGGUAGGUACAGAAGAAGCACCGGCCAACUACGUGCCAGCAGCCGCGGUAAUACGUAGGGUGCGAGCGUUGUCCGGAAUUACUGGGCGUAAAGAGCUCGUAGGUGGUUUGUCGCGUUGUUCGUGAAAACUCACAGCUUAACUGUGGGCGUGCGGGCGAUACGGGCAGACUAGAGUACUGCAGGGGAGACUGGAAUUCCUGGUGUAGCGGUGGAAUGCGCAGAUAUCAGGAGGAACACCGGUGGCGAAGGCGGGUCUCUGGGCAGUAACUGACGCUGAGGAGCGAAAGCGUGGGUAGCGAACAGGAUUAGAUACCCUGGUAGUCCAA